GAACCGGCUCCGCUCCGCACUGGCCUUGGUCACAGGUUGAGGGGGUUCUCUCCCGGGGCGGUUUGGGGUGUUGGAGUGAGGUCAGGGGCGUGCCCUUGGAGUCCGCGGCCGCUGUGACCUCUGGCCCCUUACCCACAUUUUACUAACUUUCUGCCCUGUGACCUCUGAUCCCUGCCCCCUCCUCCCAUUGCCGGGUCCGGCGUGUUCUGUCUUACCUCAGGUGCAGGGAGCGGCAUCGGCCGAGCGGUCAGUUUACGCCUGGCCAGAGAGGGGGCCACCGUAGCUGCCUGCGACCUGGACCGGGCAGCGGCACAGGAGACGGUGCGGCUGCUGGGCGGGCCAGGGAGUAAGGAGGGGCCGCCCCGAGGGAACCACGCUGCCUUCCAGGCUGACGUGUCUGAGGCCAGGGCCGCCAGGUGCCUGCUGGAACAAGUGCAGGCCUGCUUUUCUCGACCACCAUCUGUCGUUGUGUCCUGUGCGGGCAUCACCCAGGAUGAGUUUCUGCUGCACAUGUCUGAGGAUGACUGGGACAAAGUCAUAGCUGUCAACCUCAAGGGCACCUUCUUAGUCACUCAGGCUGCAGCAAAAGCCCUGGUGUCCAGUGGUUGUCGUGGUUCCAUCAUCAACAUCAGUAGCAUCGUAGGAAAGGUGGGGAACAUGGGGCAGACAAACUAUGCAGCAUCCAAGGCUGGAGUGAUUGGGCUGACCCAGACCGCAGCCCGGGAGCUUGGACGACAUGGGAUCCGCUGUAACUCUGUCCUCCCAGGGUACAUUGUAACACCCAUGACACAGAAAGUGCCACAGAAAGUGGUGGACAAGAUUACUGAAAUUAUCCCGAUGGGACACUUGGGGGACCCUGAGGAUGUGGCAGAUGUGGUCGCAUUCUUGGCAUCUGAAGAUAGUGGAUACAUCACGGGGACCUCAGUGGAAGUCACUG
rnacentral:sRNA from 1 species